GGAAGUUCGUGCAAGUGCCGCUCUGCAGGGAGGAGCGAGGGCCGAGGGGAACGCCCUCAGGAGAGUGGAGGGCAGCAGUGGCCGCGGUUCCUCUGCACUUCGUUUCUUCACUUUAUAGAAUCAAGAAAUUGCUGAGCCUAAAUACAUGUUGCUGCAUUGCCUCCGAGAAUGGCCAGACCUAUCCCCAUUCUCACCAGAACAGAGUGUGUGACUCACUGCUCCCUCGCCUACUAGAGCAGAGCCACUGCCAGAAGGAAGGGGACAAGACCCAGCAGGACACCUUCUUUCCACGCUUUCCAGCCUGUGGGAGCGGCAGGGGCAGCAGAGGGAACCUGGAGCUGGGAUUAAUGACCCAUUUAUGAAGCAUCUUAUUCUGCGACCGAGGCUGUGUGGUCAGUGGCAACGUAAAUGGCUCAACUCCCCGCUGGCAUUCGCUUCAUCAUCUCGUUCUCCAGGGAUCAGUGGUACAGAGCCUUCAUUUUUAUUUUGACAUUUCUGCUGUAUGCAAGUUUUCACUUAUCUCGAAAGCCUAUCAGCAUAGUUAAGGGUGAGCUCCACAAGUAUUGCACUGCUUGGGAUGAAGCUGACGGCAGAUUCAGCAGCCAGAGCGCCAAGUCUGGGUCCAUUGCCCCCCGCCAGCUCCCUGACAAUGAGACCGACUGUGGCUGGGCACCAUUUGAUAAGAACAACUAUCAGCAGCUGCUUGGGGCCCUGGACUACUCCUUCCUGUGCGCCUAUGCCGUGGGGAUGUACCUCAGUGGCAUAAUUGGGGAACGCCUGCCGAUUAGGUAUUACCUAACUUUUGGGAUGCUCGCCAGUGGAGCCUUCACCGCCCUGUUCGGCUUAGGGUAUUUCUACAACAUCCACAGUUUCGGAUUCUACGUGGUAACUCAGGUCAUCAACGGGCUGGUGCAGACCACCGGCUGGCCCAGCGUCGUCACCUGCCUCGGCAACUGGUUUGGAAAAGGAAGGAGAGGUUUGAUUAUGGGGGUCUGGAACUCCCACACCUCCGUAGGCAACAUCUUGGGAUCGUUGAUCGCUGGCUACUGGGUGUCCACGUGCUGGGGCCUGUCCUUCGUUGUGCCUGGGGCCAUCGUGGCAGCCAUGGGGAUAGUGUGCUUUCUCUUCCUCAUUGAACAUCCGAAGGACGUCAGGUGUUCCUCCACCCUGCUGACGCACUCAAAAGGCUCUGAGAAUGGUACAAACAGAUUGAGACUCCAGAAGCAAAUCUUGAAGACCGAAAAGAACAGGCCUCUGGACCCCGAGAUGCAGUGCCUGCUGCUGUCAGAUGGGAAGGGCUCCAUCCACCCAAACCAUGUCGUCAUUCUCCCCGGGGACAGCGGGAGUGGCACAGCCGCCAUCAGCUUCACAGGAGCCUUGAAAAUUCCAGGCGUGAUCGAGUUCUCGCUGUGUCUGCUGUUCGCCAAGCUGGUCAGCUAUACUUUCCUCUUCUGGCUGCCCCUGUACAUCACGAAUGUGGAUCACCUUGAUGCCAAGAAAGCUGGGGAGCUCUCCACCCUGUUUGACGUGGGCGGAAUCUUUGGUGGGAUCCUGGCAGGUGUGAUCUCAGACCGACUGGAGAAAAGGGCCUCCACCUGCGGCCUGAUGCUGCUGCUCGCAGCCCCCACGCUGUACAUCUUCUCCACCAUCAGCAAGAUGGGGCUCGAGGCCACCAUCGCCAUGCUGCUGCUCAGCGGAGCCCUGGUCAGUGGGCCCUACGCGCUCAUCACCACCGCCGUCUCUGCCGACCUGGGGACUCAUAAAAGUCUGAAAGGCAACGCACACGCCCUGUCCACCGUGACCGCCAUCAUCGACGGGACCGGCUCUGUAGGAGCAGCCCUGGGCCCCCUGCUGGCUGGGCUCCUCUCUCCGUCCGGCUGGAGCAAUGUGUUUUACAUGCUGAUGUUUGCAGAUGCCUGUGCCUUACUGGUAAGUCGGCCUAUUUUUAGUCCAAUCCACCUUGAAUGCGGAUCUCUGUGGUUGUGGCCAAACACUGGUGGAACUUUCUCCCGUGCAUUCCUGAGUUAUCAGACAGAUUUGGGUCUUCCCAUCUUUUCUAAAUAUGCAUAGUCUAAAGCCCCUUCUCUCUCUGGUUAGAAAAAAUCAGAAACAGAAGCAGGACAGCCUUUGGUCUGCAGUCUUGGUUGGGAUGGUACAGAGGCCAGGAGCAUGGAGCUCCAUGGCUCUGGAUCCUGCCCGUCAUUGUCACUUGUGUGCCUUGGGCGGGUUUCGUAACCUCUGCUCCACAGCUUUAAAAUGGGCAUGAUAAUGGCGCCCAGUGACAAGACUGCUGUGGGAAUUAAAGCAGAUGAUAUACAGAGCCCGGCCUCCCACUGGUCAUCAGUGUCCUGGUGUCCCUCCUGCAGCCAUGCUUGUCAGAUGGCGGGAGCAGCCCCAACUUCUUUCACCUGAAGGGAUGGGAGAGAAUAAAGGGGCAAAGAGGCUGUCAAUGCAGACACACGAAGUCGCCUUCUGGCUUCUGUCCCCUUUUCUCUGGGCUCCUGCUUCUGUGCCCUCCUGUGUUGAGAAAGCUUGAGGUUUUCCUCUGGGUAGGGAAGACCAGUGAUGAUGUCACAGUCACACAGAUGUGCACUUGUGAGGGGCACAUACACUUAUCUUUACAAGUCACCUGGCCACAAAGUCCCCAGACCCACAGUCAUGCCUCUCCUCUUGCUUCACCAGACAAAACCUUAGGCUGAUCCCAAUAAAAAUGAGUUGAGAAUUUUAGAAAUAUCAACUCACUCAACUAAAUGAAAGUCUUAUAUCUUAAUUCCAGGAAAUUAUAAAACUCAACUUCCCCACCACAUACAAAAUCAAAUACCAACUCUCAACCUAUGAAUUUACUAGGUUUAAAUGGCUGUUCUUUGGAUCAUCUGUGGGUUUUCUUAAUGCCUAAACGUUCUAGUGAAGCCUCCAGAUGUAUUUCCACUAAGUAGCAGUAAAAUUCCUGUCAUUACAACUGUUCAGAGAAUCUGAAAUAUCUUCUUCAGAAAUAUUCAGUAAUAUAUAUUGAAAAUUGUUUUGAUGCAUAGCCAAACUCAUAAGAAAGUAAAGGAAUUCCCCAGGAGCCAGAAUUGUAAAGGCAAUAUAAAUACACAAGCUCAGGAGUCAAGGGGUUGGGGUGGUUGUGCCCACACUGGGUAAGAGACAAGGUGUUAGGCUGGCACAAGAUGAGGAUUUGGAACUGGAGACUUCCUCAUAGAGCCAGGACCCUUGAAGAGCCAUGCUUGCAGUGAAAGAGUGUAUUAGAUGAUAUCUGCACACUGGCACAGGAAGACAAUGGGAAUCUGCCCAUCUUAGCCAGAUUAAGGGAAAAAAUAUCCCUUGAAAAUUUUUAGCCAUAGACCUCCCCACAGUCAGCUUUAAUCUUUGAGCUCAUAUAAAUAUGUUUAAAAUGAACAAAGUUGGUCCUUAGGCAGUGAUAAUGCAGAAGCAAAUAGGGACAAAUCUCAACCCUGCAGCACAGGAUUUCUGUAGCUAACCUACUUAGAUUUCUUCACCCUACUAAAGAUGAGUUCACAAUACAAAUUAUGAAACAUAAGCAAUCCACUUUGAAUGACAGUAACAGACAUAAAAAAUGGUGGAAUUGGACUCCCCCAAAACUGCAGGUAAAAGAGUUAUAUAAACUAAAAAUAAAUAUAUGCAGUGUUACUAAUGACGUAAAGAAAGGAACUGACCUCAUGAAAGAAAGAACAAGACACUAUCGAAAGACAGAGCAGGCUUCAAAAACAACCAAACAGGAGUUAUAGAAAUGAAAAUGUGAUCUUUAGCCUGAAAAAAAAAAAACUCAAUGGAUGGGUUAGAAAAGUAAAUUAGAUACAGCUGAAGAGAUUACUGAAAUGAAAUAUAGACAUGAAGAAAUUAUCCAGAAUUCAGCACAAAAGAGAGAUGGAAAAUAUUAAAGAGAAUGAAAUAUAAAAUGGAGGACCAAAUGAGAUGGCCUAAUAUUAUCUGAAAGUAAUUCCAGAGGAAGAUAAUAGACUGGGUUUGAAGCAAUAUUUUAAGAGAAAAUAGCUGAGAAUUUUCCAGAUACAUGAAAGACAAACAUUCUUAGAUUCAGGAAUCAAACGACUUAGAAUUCUGUACCUAGAUAAACUUGCAUGCAAGAGUAAGGGUGAAGUGAAAACAUUUUUAACCAAAGAUGCUCCCAGCAAAAAUUGCUAAACAGUGUAUUUAAAGAAGGAAGAUAGAUCCAGAAGGAAAGUCUGAGAUGCAAGGAGAAAUGCAAGCAAAAAAGCAAUAUUCCUAAGGAUGAAUCUAAGUAUUGACCAUAUAAAAUAGGGGCCAGCUAACUGUGGCUUAUUUUUGUAUGAUCCUCCAGCUGGGAAUGGUUUAUAUUUUUAAAGAUUUCUUUAAAAAAAUCAACAAAAGAAUGCGCAACAGAGACCAUAUGGCUGCAAAGCCUGAAAUAUUUACUAUCUAGACCUUUACAGAAGAAGCUUUCUGACUCUUAGUUUAAAACAACAGCAAUGACGACUAAUUUGGGCAAUAUAAAAAAGAACUGAAAUACUGAAAAUGUAAAGUACAAGCAGGACAAUCAGAGUUCCAGCACACCACAGUUCUUACAUUGUCAAGUCAAUAGCAAUAGAAUGUGUAACCUUCCAGGCAAUACAGGGAAAUGAAGAUUUAUCCAAGAGAACCUAGGGUCGGGGGAAGCAUAGGAAAAGCAGGGUAAAUACAGAAAUACAUAGCGACAUGGAUGAAAACGAUCCCAGCAUACCAGCAACACAGUAACUAUAAAUGGACUAAACUCAUCAGUUAGAAGCAGAGACUGUCAAGUUGCUUUUAAAAAUACAGGCACUGGUUAUUUACAAGAAACACACCUGCUACACUGGAAUUCCGAAAAGACGAAAGUGAAAGAAUGGGAAAGUACACAACAGGUAAAUAAUAACCAGAGGAGGGUGGAUUUGUUGCACUGGAAGAAAGAGACCUAAAGCAGAAGCACUUGGGAGAUGGGGUCUUGUUGUAGUGGAGAAGAAACUGAACCAGGAUGUGCAGUAGGCCGGUGAGCUCGAGUUGAGCCUUUCAAACCUAAGAAAUAGACAUACCUUUUUCUCUUCCCUGAUCAACAUGCUUUGUGGUAUCUUUUCACCAAAAUAGACAAGUGUUUCCUCCCAAGUCUGAGGCUGAGAACCUCCAUGAUCUGAGCAGGUGUCCUGGGGGGCCAGAGGACACCAUGCUUCCUGCCUCACCGUGCACACUGAUGGCCAGCUCCAGGGCCUGCAGGACUGCCUGGGCACACAGCCAAAGUCCUUAGGUCUCCAGUAUGCACUGGGCUCCUGAAGUUGGCAGGGCCCCUCCUUGUUGGUCAUUCUUGCAUGUGUGAGCCAAGCACACAGGCAUGUUUUGAAAUCGGAUCUCUGUUCUUCAGAGCUGUCACUAUUUACAGUUCGUGCCAUACCUACAGAUAACACUUGCUACUACAUUCUUCAUCUUUUUUUCUCUGUCUUAAUGAUCGGCUUUUCAUAAUCAUAGGUCUCUUCGGGCUAGCACUUUUCACACAUCACACUUGGUAGGAUAUAGAUGUGGGUAAGGUACCAGCUCAAACACAACAAGCCUGUGCCAGUAAUUGCAGCUAGCGGUUCAGAUACACACAGAUGGAUUUAUUUAACAAUAACCUUGCUCUUGCCACCAGCACUAUUGUUGGUACCUGCCGUGUUCCCACGACCUUUACCGACUAAUUAUCGCAAACACCUUUCAUGUACCAAGCAGAGCAGCUGGAUGCAUCUUAUCUGUAGAAGGGGCUCCUGUUCUCUCCAGCUUGAACUCACCUCAUACAAGGGACUUCUAAGUUGCUACUCAAACCAUAAGCAUCUAAGAAAAGAGAAGAGUUUCUGCCUUCUCGAGCUGUGGCCUGAGGCUUGGGGGUGGGGCCGUGGGUUUGGUUUUUAAGCAGCCCCUCGAGACCGUCCUCCAGCACCCCUUCCCCGCCUCCCCUGGCCCAGUGAUCCACCCUGGGUCUGAGGGCAUCUGUGGCUCUCUAAGAGUGAGGGGCCACGUCCAGGGAGAGCCCUCCUGUGGGCUGAUAUCACACUGGGAGAGAGACUGGAUCCACACUGGAAAAUGCAGACACACUAGUUAAAUUGGGGAUAGCACAAUCAUUUGUCUGGAUUUGGAAGCUGAUGUUGAGCCCCCGAACAUGUGAAAGGCACAGAGUUAAAGCCCUGGGUCUAGAGAGGAGCUCAGGCUGAGGCAGCAAUAUUGGUGGAACAGCCCUGACCCCCGGCCAGGCCUGGCCUCCGAGGGGCUCCCAGUGGGCUGCAGCUGUCCUGUGGCAGCCUCUUCAGACCCCAGGACUGGCGUCGGAGGAGAUGCUCACCUGGCUUUAGAGUCGCCUGAGAAACUCGCGAGUCCACCUCCUGGGCCACCAGCAUUGUGGUCCUCUUGUCUUUAUUUUCUUUUUCCCACUGUGGACAUUUUAUGAUUGGACUAAUUUUAUUCUAAACAUGACUUGACCCCAGAACUGGUUCAGGCUGCAUCUUUCCCAAAAGCCUUGUUUUCAGGGCACCUCCUGGUUCUUCGUGGGCCCUCAUCAGACAGCCCUGCCCACAGGAACCAAGGCCUCGGGCUGAGUAUGCAGGCCCCACUGCUCUUGCAGGGAGGUGACCCCAGGGAAGGUGCUGUGGGGAGAGAACCACCCGCCUGAGUCUUGCGGGCUAGGUCCUCACGGUGCCCACAGCGCGGGCUGCCCUGUGCCUGCCCCAGUGACGGGUGGGCUCACCUUUGUUUUGGUGCAGUUCCUGAUCCGCCUCAUACACAAGGAGCUGAGCUGCCCAGGGUCAGCGACGGGGGACCAAGUUCCAUUUAAGGAACAGUGACGCCCCACCCCCGGUCCCGUGGAGGGGGUCUGGGCCCACCCUUCACAACUGCCUUUCAAGGACAGUUUAGAUAAAGGGCCCUGCACAGAAAGAGUGACUUCCCUUUGCCUUUUGCACACGCACCUGGAAAAGACACAGAAGCCAACCUGAGAACUCCUGGUGCUAUUUUAAACGAGACGUAGAGCUGAACAGCAGUGAGAAGAGUCUGUGGGAACUGCUGCCUGAGCCGAGCCAGAGAACCGAAGACCCGGCCAACCCUGGCCUUGAAGGCGUGUGCCCAUGUAACCACCUAAAUGCACGCGUGACAGCCAGGCCGGGUGGGUGUGGGGUGCACAGGUAGCCUCGACCCUCUCAGGCGUGUCAGCCACAGAACAUCAAAGUGAACGAGUGCCACGCUGGCUGUGGCUUCAGAGAACCUGAAUGUGCCAUGUGGAAAAACAGGACACCAGAGCCCACCAGACAGCGCCGGCCAGCAGAGAAGCAGAGAGCCGGCGCCACAUGACAGCAGGAAGGCCGACAACCUGAUCGGAAACCAUGACGGAGCUCAGACCUACAUCACCCCAGAGGCUUUUCUAGCACCCCUGAUGUUCCGGACUGACCUGAAAACUAAUUGUUGAGAAGCCAAGGGUGAGGAGGCAGGAAGCACCUCCACUUGGAGGCACCCAGGCGUGCCAGCCACAGAGUGCCCCGAAGUCACCGUCAUCCCAGCCCCUGGCAUUCCUGCUGCCCUCCGAGGCCUCGGUGCUGCUGUUCAGCUCGGGGCACAGGGGCAUGGCAGAGGCUUGGGAAGCGGCCUCCCCACCGGCACUGGGAUUGGCAGGUCCAAGCCCAGCAACUGGCUUCACUUCCACGACACACCACACCUGGGACUGUUUUUAAUACAUAGCAACAGAGUGGGUUAUUUAUUUAAGAUGUGUAUUGUGUCAUAUGAAGUUUAAGAAACAUAAAUGGCAUUUUGUUAUUUAUUAAGACAAACUCCAAUUGUUCUCUGGCCGUUUUUUUCAGUCGUGUCUAGCAAAAUACUUAUCUGCCCUUUGAAAUAAAAUGUUUUUGUUAAAAAAAUCUCAGAACA